rnacentral:tRNA from 1 species
AGUUAAUUGCUAGAGUGGUUGAAUAGGCUGCAUAGUAACCGAAAGGUGAAACGUGGUUGAUAUACAGUUUGUUAUAUCCGCAUAGGUUCGAAUCCUAUAUUAACUU